AGAAAAUAAUGGAUGGUCCUUUCCUGUAUGGUUCCUUACUGAGGGGCAUGUAGGCUGCAGUAGGUUGACAAGUAGCCUGUCAAGAGGGAGUGGACAUCAUGAGUCCUUGUAAUGGAUAUUUCUUGUGGUCACUGGCCAAGCAAGAAGCUAGAAAUACCCUCCAGUUUCACUGCUAGGCAGUACCAAAGAACAGGUUUCUCUUUGAAAUUGUGUUCAUAAUAUAAAGCCAUUGAAGUGGCCUUAUGGCAGCAAAAUCAAAAUCUUUCAUUAAUGAAAGAAGAGCAGAUGAAUAAUCACAAUAAAAGUGUCUGUUACCAUGGGACAGGGAAAUAGGAACACAAUGGGCAUUUGAUGAGCGGCGAUUAGUCUGGCUCCACAGACUAUUUGGGAAAUGGAGAAAAAGAAUGGAUUGUAUUAAAUGCCAAAUUCAAAAGGCACGAUUGGGAAGCUUAGGUCAAAGAAAUUAAGGAUGGCUACACCAAAAUGAGAUGCUGUCUCUGUGGAUCUAUGGUCAAAGUGAAACUUUUGAGUACAAGUUAUGCCUAUGAGCCCAUAAUUACAGGGUGUCAGGCGUCUCAGGGAUGUGGAGGGGCUGAGCUCAGGCCAUGCAUACCUCCCACAUGGCACUAUCUGACUUUGUGCAAGUCUUCAACCUUAUUGUUUUCCUAAUGCAUUCCCCAAACCUCGCCGAGAUAUUCCCAGCUCAGAAAUCUCAGUGACAUUCCCUGCCUGAGGGGGACUCUGAAGCUGAUGCAGAGCUAACAGCAUGGCUGGCUGGCUGCUCCACAAGUGACUGGAGUCCUUCUGAGGUCUCUCUGCAUGAAGUGGGACCUCCUGACCUAGGGACAGGCAAGGGAGAAGCAAAAGAGAAAGGAGAUGGGUGAGACAGUGCCAAGUCACUGGACCACACAUGCUGACACAGCUGGAAAAAUCUAAGAGAAAACCAUAACUGUGAAGGAGACAAAUACUGAAGCAAAUGCACCUCUUUGGAGUGGCAGUUUCUCAUCAGCAGAGUGGACAAACCCUGGCUUUGGAGGAAAAGCCAUGGCAAUACAAAGCCUCACUUUAGGGUGGAGUCUGCUCCAUUGUGGGGAUAGGCAAACUUCAGGAUGGGAUCAAAAACAAAUGGGAAGAGGCAGAACAGGUAAUACCAUCAUUUGAUAAUAACUGACUGUUAAUUCUAUGGGACUGUAAUUAAAGACAGCAGAACCAUCAUACCUGAAGUGCUACAUAAAAAUUACAUUGAAAGGAACCCAGGAAGCUCAUUUGCCUUAGAAAAGGGACAGAGACAUUUUAUACUACUUCAAAGGAGAGGGACACCAAUGUUAAAGCUUUUUCAUGUACACCAAGAACACAGUCAAUUCCAGUAAAACUAUCCACAUAAGCAGCCCAGACAAAAUUGUCUCUACAGCAACAGAUUUGUUCAAGCUGCUAAGGAAUCACAUCCCCACACCUCUUCAAUGAACUUUGUAUUAUAUUUCUCAUGACCUUUUGUGAAGUUUGGUGGAAAAAGAAGAUAUGCAGAACAAAUAUUUCAGCAGGUAUGGUAGCAAAAUAGUGAUGUGUAAGAGUGGGCCACACUUCACAGGGUAUGACUGGGGUUUUUUUAUUGGAAUACACCUAAGUCAUCAUCAUCUCUGUGGGAAACAGCCCAGCCAACAAAGCUAUUACUGACAAAUACACCAGACACUGACCAAUACAGCACUACUACCUUUUAUACAGCACUGAUCAGUGCAUGGACAUACACCUUUAUUGGGCUAGAAACUGGCAAUGCUUGAUAAGAAAAAUAAUUUUAGGUCAAACAGACACAGGGAAUUUCUAGGAUUUGCAAUGAAAAAAAUUAAAAAAAAAACAUAAGACAAGGAGACUCAAUGUGAAACUUUUGAUUUAACAUCUAAGACAACCCUUCAUUUCAGAAUAAUCCCUGAAAAUGUUUGCACUUCUUUUUGAAGUUCUUGAGUUAAAAAACAUUUCUGAUUAAAAGAAUAAACAAAGUUCUGUUUAAAACAUCAAAUCAAAAGGUUCUUCAUCUUGUUUUCUCAAGGACAUCAGAGUGUCAGAGAAAAAAACUUUUUCCAAGAACAAAAGUACUUUUAAAUUAAUUUACCUGAUCUGAACUCAUCAAACCAUUCAUCUUUCUAAGCCCUGUCUUUAGAACAAGUGUCCUAUAUGUAAAAAAACCCCACCUCCACUCUAGUUAACCCAUUCUGUAAUUUUCUCAGAACACUGACAAACAGGAUUUGGUCUCUGUCAAAAAUCUCACACCAGAGAAGCUGUAGAUACAUAUAAAAGAAGAGAUAACACAGCAAAGUUGUGAGAAGCCUUAGAAGGAAAGGAAUCCAUGGACACAGCAGCAGCCUGGGGGCCCCCCAAGGUGUGAAUCCCCCCGUGCUGGGUGACCUGCAGACAAAAUCUCCUGGUGCCAGGGAGCAGAUGUACGUGGGCACAACAGCAGCAGUGCUGCCUGCAGCAGUCGGGCUGGGGGAGCUGGUGCUCAGCUUUUGGCUUUGUGAUCUUCAAGAGCUGUGGCACUGCUGUGCAGGUCCCUGGCAGAUGGCUGAUUAUAAGCAAGAAGUCUGUGUUGGUUGUAGGUUUUUGUUUUUGUUGUGUUUGACCGGGAAGGUAUGGGGCAAAAAUCACUUUAGAGGGUUCUUUCUAAGCCAGGUUUUAUCCAGUGACACAUGCUGAGAGAAGCAGGUCUCUGGAUCUUAGUGAAUUACUUUUGCUGUUUCCUCAUCUCCAUGUGGUGUACGGACCACUCACCCCUGCCCUGAACUGCUCAUGUUCUUCCUAAAGGUAAAGAGAUGGCAGCAUGGCAGCUCCAGCACUAGUUCUGCAAGUCCAAGCAAAGUGCUGGGAUUCACAGGGACAUGCAGGAUCCAGUCCUUCUUCUGGGCUCAGGUGGAUCUCUGAAGGCUCUGGUGUUUCAUAUUACAUGUGGGUGCUAUUUUCAUCCUCCUCAGGAAGUGUUUAUCCUCAGUGUGCUGGUUACAGACUCACUCAAAGCAAGGCGUGCAAGCUGAUCUCUGAGCUCUCUGUGCUGGCAGUGCUUAAUCACAUCCCACUCUAAAAGAAACCAUCUGAUGUCAAGAUUUGGAUGAUAAGAAUAUGGGACACAUUAGUCAUGGAGGAGCUGACAUACACAGAGCAACAAGGGCGAGAUUAUCUUGAUAUGGCUGCCCUUCUCAGGAUGUGGACAUGGAGAGCUCUUUAAUACCUAAAAAACAGACUUAAUUCCUUUUAUUUCUGCUAAUAAAUGUCCUGUCUUUUGCUACAUGAGAACACCACCCUCUGCAGCAGAUGCAUAUGAUUAAAGCAUAAAAAGUAUAAGAAAGAUGCUGUAAAAAAUUAUAGAUCAUUGUCUCAACUCACAAGGUCCUGCCUUCCAAACCAUUUCGGUUUCAUUUUAGAGAUAAUUGUAUUCUUUGUUGUUUGCAAGUGAAUACUGUAAAACUUGUACUCUAUGUUCUUGGAAUACACAUAUGAAAAAUUGGAUAUUUUAAAUUAAAUCUUAGAUGAGCAGUUCUUAGAUGAGCAGUAAAGUCUUAACCUGGCAAAGUGCUCAGCAGCAUGCCCAGAGUGAAGUGCGUAGGUAUUCCAACACAUUCCAGCAAAAUGUGUUGGCAGGGUGAACUAGAACCAGGUUAAUGAGCCUGACUCAUUAGGAGCUGAGAUAGGACCUGGAGCAUGAGAUGGGACUUAAUGAUGCAACCAGUUUGACAAAAUCCCCUUAAACUGAAAGAAUACUUCUUUUUCCUCCUCUCACACCACGCCAAGGACAAGCCCCAAACAAUCCAAAACCCUUAUACAAGGCAGGCAGAGCAUGUACCCUUUUGCCUUCUGUCAGGAGUGCUCUCCAAGUACCAGCAUGGCCUGGAAAAAGACAGGAUUUCCUGGGAAAUCUUAAGGGCAUGAGAUGAUGUGCUCCCACCAUGGUAAUGCCAUUGGGGAGGGUAGAGUUUUUUCUCUUUCAAAGAAACUUUAUCAGCUUGAAACAUGCACUUUAAUUUUCAUUUCUCCUAAAUAAUCAAAUGCACAUUGCCCUUCCUUUUUUCCUGGGUGACGGAAAAGGGACAUUUCCCCAGACCUAUGCAUCAGUGCUGAUAACACCACUUUGAAAUUCACCAACAAGCCAUUAGGGCCAUAAAAUUUGCUCUUCUACAUUUUAAGAAUAUUUUAGGAUGCAAAUACUCCAGAUAGCUAAAGGUGUCAGGACCCAGAAACCAGCAGGAGUUCUAUAAAAUUCAACAUGUUCUGCAUUUGUAAAAGUUAACUUAAAACCACAAAGGAAACUGACCCCAUAAGAGACCUUGAUGCAAGUAUUCUUUGUACAAGGAUCUCAGAGCAAACUGAUUAUGUCUUACUUGUCAGGUAUCUGUACUGCAGACUCCAGCACAUAAACUGAAUCUUGAAUUAAAUACUGACAUUUAGAGUGUUUUAAUUAAUUUUCAUGUGAACUGACCUUGAAAAUCUGAUCAAUAAUAAUGUGAACACUUUUCCCCCUUGUCCUCUUACUAUCAUGCUCAGUAUCCAGCAAAAAGUUUAGUUAAUAUUACACAGGAUAAUCCUGACUUAGGAAUUGGAUUCUUGAACAUCUCAACAGCUUUUAGCUGGCACUGCAAUUUUCACUAUUUAAUGGUUGGUUUGUAAAUACCCAAAUCCCAAAUUGAUGUAAUUAUUGAGAGUAUUUAUUUUCUCCAUCCCUUGAAGUUAUCAAAACCUGGAAACUUUGCUGUUGAAACAGUAUGAAAGCAGAAGGCAAAAGCAAACAAUAUGAAAGUUAUCAAUCUUAAAAAUUUCAUGAGUUUUUGGUACACAUCCCAUUUUCUGAAUGCUUGUUUGGGAAUGCCUUCCCUGCCCCUUGGCAGGACUUGCUAGGUCAGGGAAAUCCACAGCUAUAGUGUGCUAGCUGAUGUAAAAUUCUUUUCUUCCAGAGUAUGGAUACAUUUCAGUUAAAUCUCCAGAGGGAAGAUGUGUGAAAGCUGGGUUUGCUUGGGCCCUGCAAGGUGCAGGGUGAUGAUGAGUGAUGACUGCACACCAGGACUCUGUUCCAGCACAAAAGGCAGCUGAUGAACAAGCUUUUACCUUCCCUCCUCAUUCCUCCUGCAACUAAGCAUUUAGAAGGCAUUGAACUGGGUGGAUUUUUGCCUUCUGAACUACUCAAGAACAUCAGGUUAUGGACCUGUUCUGGUCAUGAGCAUGUUUCUUAUGUUCCACUACACAUGCACACACAACACAGAUGCCUAAAUAGCCUCAUUCAUAACAAAGGCAUCACAUUUCAAAGCAAGUGAGGCCCAGAGGAUUUUUUUAAAAUUCAGUUCUCCUUUAUGCAUCUUUCUCGGGUGCUUAUAUGAAUUAAGCUCUAAUCCUCUGAGCUUUGCUUACCAUAUGUUAUUAGAGCAAUUGGUUUUGCAGUGAUAUCUUUGAUUUCAUUACAAAAGACCGUGGUCAAAACUUUUCUUUUAGGACUCUAAGUGACUGUGAUGUUCAUUGUUACUGUUACAUUGUCACUGUUCCUUCAUUGUUACCUCCUUAACACAAAUCCUUCAAAACCUGUGUGUGGGAGAGACAGCCCAUUCUCCAGCAUCUCCUUUCUCCAAAGCCCUUUGGCUCUUUGGGGAAGAAGAGCAAGUCAUUCUUGCUGUGGAAAUGAAAUGAAAAGUGAGAUGGAGUGGCUGCUCAGGGAGAUGCCACAGCAGCAGAGCCCCUGACCAGCCCAGGAUCCAGCCUUGCCACGUGCCAUCCCACCCCUCCCUUGCCUGUGCGGGGCAGUGGCACACCGGGAGCACGGCCAGGCUGAUGCUGGGAGCAGGCUCUGCCCUGGGCUGGGGACAGGCACCUUCACUCACAGAAAGCCUUGCGUGACCAGAACUAACAAGGUUUCAGUCAACAAAGCUUUGGAGAAACUGCGAUGCUGCACUUUGUUCCACAAAGUUUAUAGUUCCUCACCUCUGGCCCCUUUUAAUGCUAUAAUUGCUCUCUUAAAUUUCUCUUUAUUUAACGUCACCCAGUCUGUCUUCUUUUGUUACCAUUUAUUUAACUAAAACAGGCAGAGGCUGAUAUUGAAGGCAGGAAUGGAGCCAGCAUGUUAAAACCUGCUUUUAAUUUAAGGUUCUGGGGCUAGUUUCCUAGCCAUUACCACAUUUCAGAGAAAAUGAAUUUUCUUCUCUCUGUCAAGCAAUGGCUGAUCUAGAUCUAAUUAGGGUCAGUUUCACCUAUAGAUGAGUCAUUUACAUUCUGAAUAUAUGGCUUCCAAAUUAUCGUUUUGGUUUAACAUCAGACAUGAAUAAACCCAUGCAUAUCUUUUUUAGAUGGCACUGAAGAUAAAAAUCAAUGGCUUUUCUUCCACAAAUACUUUUCCCAGCAAAAAGAUGGCAGCUGGAUGAAGAAAAAAAGAUACAGUUCAGGAUAAGGACAAAUAAGAUUAAGGGUAAUGACAGAAUAUAGUUUUCUGAACUGCAGAAAAAGUGGCCUACUUAAGACUUACUAAAAAACAAAAGGCUCUGAAUGUUCAAACACUUAAAGAUAAAUUUUUUGACAAAAACCCCUAGCUAUGCAGGUCCAUACUACUUUUCUUUGAGCACAAUAUGGGUACAGAAACAAAACAGUUUGCAAUGGAAGCAACUGGAAAAAUAUAAAUCAUACAACACAGCAAUUCUGCAGCAGUAUUGGCUAAUACUAAGCACAGUGAAGAGAAAAACUCUUAUUUUUAAGCAGGUUGAAAUCCCAUCCCUUUUUCAGCUGGGAGCCAUUUGUGUAAUCAGUAUGUCUUGCAGCAAAGUUAAAAGAACAAAACUCUAUAAUAUGGCCCCUUGUAGCCUUACUUUGCCAGGAAAACCUUGGAAACAGGAAUUUCUGUUAUCCCUCUCAUUUAUACUCUGCACCUCUCUUUGGCAUCCAUUACCAGCUACUUCCACCAUUCUACUUUUUCACUGGGUGACCAAGAAUUAGCACUGCAGGCACACAUCUCUGUCCUCUGCUCUGAGACCUGACCCAUUACCAGGAUAGCACCUCUGCAUUCAGCUGCAACUAGUGGAGAUGGCUGGGACACAAGCACUUCAGUGCUGGGAAAGAACAAGAUCACUGAAAUACACCGUGGAAAUUAAAUCUCACGCUGCUUCUUAUUAGAGCCAAUAAUAAGUAACAUAACCUCAUUAUUUUGUGUUUUAAAUAGCUUGGGUCAGCAAAGGAGCUAUCAUUUUGGCAGUGUUUGUUUCCUCAGAGGAGGUGUUAUCAGUGGGUUCACAAGUAAUGCUCAUCAGAAGUGCAGAUCCUUCUGCUGUUCAGUGGGAUUAAGCAAAGCAGACUCUGCUAUCAGCAAGGGGAAGAUGAGUUAUUUAGGGCAGCCUAUAAAUCAGUCAAACACCAGGACUAUCUGGCAUCAUUGGGAUCCUGAAGGCUUUGCAGAACCUUUUCCCACUGUGUUCCUAUGGCAGAAGAGCAGCACUGGUGUCUUUUCUCAAGCCUGCUGGGGAAUUCAGCGCUUCUCCACGGCUGCAUUGGAAGAACCACUACUCACUACAGUUGGGGUAGCAAGGUCCCUCACAUGCUGUAGUGGAAAGAAUUCUCAUAUCUCCCAAGAAAAUCCUAAUAAUCAUGCUCCAGAGCAACAUGUUUUAGGGCUCUUCCACCCUACUGCUGAAGGUGGACACAGCACAACCAAGGAAGCAGGAGUCAGUGAGCAGAAGAGGACAAACAAGAGGCCUGGUUCUGUCAGAGCACUGAGGUACCUGGGCUCUUGCUUCCCUCUUCCUGAUCCUGUUUGUGUGGUGAGAGGAAAAGACAAGAGACCUGGAGAUAAAGUUCAGCAGUCCAGUGAGUUCAACCACCUGAAUUCUGCUUGCUUCUUGUUUCAGGCACCUCAACCCCAUCCCUGAGGAUCUCUCGUUGCAUUCCUUGCCAGUUGUGGCUUCUUACUGACUUUCCAUUAAAUCAGUUCAGUGUGUUUUCAUUUACUCUCACCCCAAGAUGCCAGUGAUCUUGCCUGUGUGUUUACUCAUCUCAGGGUCUGAGAAGAAGUAGUAAAAAUACUCAAGUCAAUUUAGGACUGUGGGAUUUGACUUCUCAAGGAGUUUGCCUGCUGCUAGCUGAGCCCCCAACUUCAUUAGUGAGGUAUGAUGAUGAUUCAGGUAAACCCAAGUGUUCUGCUGACUUGUUAUACCAGCUCAGGUUUCUGUGCUAUGCCUUUCCAAGUUGCCUGACUGGACAGGUACCAUUUCACACCGGCUUCCUUUGAAGCUUUAAUUUGCAGCCUGGAUGCACAACUACACCCAGGACCACAACUGGAUUUACAAGGCCUGGGAAAAGACUGUAGAAAUUGAGGUACUUUGCUCUCCUCCCACACUGCCCUGCAGAGCUCAGGGCUACACUUUGGCACUGACAAAUGUGAAUUUGGUCCAUCUGGACAGCCUGAGAGUUGAAAGCUCUGGGUGGGAAUCUGCAUGUCCGGUUGGGUUGGAGCGUGCUAAGAACAAGAACAGGGAUCUUAAAUGCUGACUUUAUCAAGUGGCACAUGCAUUCAGAUCUCUAAUCCUUUUUUUCCUGCCAAACAUAGGAAACUUUUACCUCCUGGUAAAAGACCCCCUGGCUUGCCAUCCCUUCAUAGAAUGUAUUCACCAACAGAAAGGAGGAAGAAACAUGAAAGAAAUUUGCAUAUUUUUGUGACCAGAUACAGACAGAAAAAGAUGUCUUCAUUCAGACAUCUCUUCUGCUCAGAUGUGCUGCUGGAUGUGUCUGGGACAUGACUGGCAAACAGGCACUUUCCCCAUGACAAGCUGAGCUUUCCUGUAACAUCAUCACUUUUCUGCUGUACAGAUCUGUUUAGAAUUUUACAGAUUUUCUUACAGGCUUCCUGUUAUCUGAAGAUGCUCCUGGGACAACCCUUCAGUGUUUUCCCACUAAGAUUUUAUUGAAAAGAUCCAGUGCUAUUUCAAUGAAUCUAAAGCAAUAUUCAGGUCAUUUUGAGUCUAUCUCUAAUAUCUUCAGUAGUUUUUCUGUUAACAUCUGUGGUGAAGUUUUCAAAUGAUGCCAUAAUGAGGAUGUCAGCUGUAACACUUAUAAACCCCACUGCUGCACCUUUCUUCUUUCUAGUGUAGAGUAACAUUACUGAAACUCAACAAAAUGGUCUCAUACACCUCAUGCUCCCAUAAAGAACUUUACCUAAACUAAAGUCAAGGGUAUAUGGAGGACAGUCUCACACUUCUUGUCAGAAUCUGAUUUGGGUGAAAUGUUAAAAGCCAGUAUCUAGAAACCCAUGAAAUCACCUCCAAAAUCCCAGUGGCUCAAAUUGAAUUUGUGAUUAAAGACCUGUUGCAGUCUUCUGACAGCAACCCUUCCAUUGACUUUAGUGAGGUUUGCAUCAGACCCAUUCCUUACCUGUUUUUGUGUCUCAACAUGCAACAUGUGAAGGCCUCCAGAGUCUGAACAUGGUCUUGUAUUUGGACACAAUAAAAGCUGCAAUAAGA